GUCGAACGCGAAAGGGGCUUCGGCCCUGAUUAGAGUGGCGAACGGGUGAGUAACACGUGGGUGACCUACCUUCGAAUGGGGGAUAACGUCCCGAAAGGGACGCUAAUACCGCAUAACAUCCUGUCUUUGAAGAGAUGGAGAUCAAAGCUGGGGAUCGCAAGACCUGGCGUUUGAAGAGGGGCCCGCGUCCGAUUAGCUAGUUGGUGAGGUAACGGCUCACCAAGGCAACGAUCGGUAGCCGGCCUGAGAGGGCGGACGGCCACACUGGGACUGAGACACGGCCCAGACUCCUACGGGAGGCAGCAGUGGGGAAUUGUUCGCAAUGGGCGCAAGCCUGACGACGCAACGCCGCGUGGAGGAUGAAGGUCUUCGGAUUGUAAACUCCUGUUGCCCGGGACGAAACGCUUCGACCUAACACGUCGGAGCUUGACGGUACCGGGUGAGGAAGCCCCGGCUAACUCUGUGCCAGCAGCCGCGGUAAUACAGAGGGGGCAAGCGUUGUUCGGAAUUACUGGGCGUAAAGGGCGCGUAGGCGGCCUUCUAAGUCGAACGUGAAAUCCCCGGGCUCAACCCGGGAACUGCGUCCGAUACUGGAAGGCUUGAAUCCGGGAGAGGGAUGCGGAAUUCCAGGUGUAGCGGUGAAAUGCGUAGAUAUCUGGAGGAACACCGGUGGCGAAGGCGGCAUCCUGGACCGGUAUUGACGCUGAGGCGCGAAAGCCAGGGGAGCAAACGGGAUUAGAUA
rnacentral:rRNA from 1 species